UCACGGGCAAACACACAACGUGGCACACUCAGCAGAUGUGAGCUUUCCCCCUCAGCAGCAGCUUCUUUUGUGUCUCUGACCCGCUUCCACCUAAAGUGGCCUGAUGAACAAAUGUGGAAGCAGGACACUGCUGACAGUCUACCUGUUGGUAGGUCUGCUUUUCUUGUCUUUGAAUUUAGGGGAUGAGGAUUAUUUGCAGACUUAGGUAGGGUUUGCCAAGGACAGCAGAGAGUGAUCACAGAUGAGGGAGAAAGUGUUGGCAGCUCGGGGGGGUUCCACAUACUUUCACUUGCACUUUCUAUAAAUAAAGAGUUGCCUCUGGUAUUCAGUGAGCAUAAGGGAUUACAGAGACGAUAACUGUAUUGAAAAGUGCUUUUUCUACUUUAUAGAACAUUGCUUUAUUUGCAAUAUUUACCUCUAGAAAACUAGAGUAAAUCUAAAGGUUUAUAGUUCAUAUAGAAAUAUAAUGCAUAUGCUCAAGGGGAGGGCAAUCUGAUAUUUGUAGUUGUUCAUACAUUUCAUAUAUAUUAUCUUAUUUAAUCCUCACAAUAGUUCUAUGAGGUAGGAAUAAUAUUAUUAUUCUGAUUUUCUUCUAAAAGAAAAUUCAGGCUCAGCAGAGUAAAACGACUUAACCAAAAAUUAGAACUAAAAUUCAAAUCUAGUCCUGUGCCCUUUGAACUACAUCAUGCAAUAGCACUAAUUGUUCCCAGUUCAGCCAUCCCAUUGCCGCCGAGAUGAUUCUGACUCACGGCAACCUCAUGUAUGUCAGGGUAGAACUGACCUCCAUAAGGUUUUCAAUGGCUGGUUUUCCAGAAGUAGAUCACUAGGACUGUCUUCCAAGGUGCCUCUGCAUAGAUUCAGCCUGCCAAACUUUCAGUUAGCGGUCAAACAUGUUAAGUGUACGACCUAGGGACUCCAACUCAGGUAUAGUAGUUUAUAAUUUGGGGGGAGAAAAAUCUCUUUUGCAAAGUAGUUGACUUACUCUCGUUUAGAAAUAAUAAAACAUGCCUCUAUCUCAGUUGUUAUUAUUUUGAUUUUUUGCUUACUGAGGCAAAAAGAAUUUAUCCUUCAGAGUUUUUUCAUGUAUGAGAUUUGAGUUAUUUUUAAAAAAAUUUUGGAGGUGAUUCUAAAGAAAAUGAACCAGUGUUGAGAACCAGUGGCAGAGAGGCAAGAUUAGAAGUAACAGAGGCAGGAUGAUAAAAGGCCUAGACCAUGGUGGUGGCAUUGAAAAGGGAGAGGUAUUUCCAAGAAAUAUUUGAAAGGAAUGGUGAUCAGUUGAGUGUAAGGAGAGCAGGAGAGGGCAGAGUCAAAGCUGACUCCAUAGAUUCCAGUCUUCUAACAGAAGUGGCUAAUCUGGUUUGUAAGCCCCCUUGAUGGAAUGAAAGUAGGAUAGGAAGUCUAAAUCGAUAAGCCUGAUUUUGGACAUAAGCAGAUAGUAGAGAUAUAGUUAUGCAAUAGAGGAUUCGAUUCUUCCUUUUCUGAGUGAUUUGUUCUAAACCUUCUUCUGUUAGAGCCACAAUUAGAAUAAUGACAGGUUAAAAAAAAAAUUACAAGAUGUAUUCUUAUAAAUGUUCACUUGGGUCUAUUAAAUGAUCUAAAUUGAGUAAGUUAGCAACUACUAUCCUAUUAGCCUUCCCAUGAGUUGUAAUCAACUUGACAGCAACUAACAGCAACAACAAUAAUUGAUUUAAAGUAAGUAGAUUAGAGGGGAAAGAAGGUAACACUGGAUGGUUUCUGGCUGAGAAAGUAUCAGCACAGGGCACCUGUUCACAUUUUCACUCAAGAAACUCAUAUUCUUGGACCAUGAUUAUAAUAGCCUUCAUGUACAGGAAGUGCAGAUAUUAUUUUUAUGUGAACAAUGGCCUCAUGAUGGGACUUUUGUUAUUAUUUUCAUUUUGGGGGGGGCACAGGGUUAAAUUCAGGCUGGGUGGGACCGUGUGUGUGUAUUUUGUGGCUAUAGACAAAACAGUGCAAGGCAUUUCCAUUCGUUAAGUUUCCAGGGUAUUUCUGGGAAAUCAGACCAUGAAGUUGGCCCCGGGAAAUUUUUCUGUGCCCAAGCCCGGUGUUUGCACAUUCUCAUUUAGGGAAUCUUUAAUAAGCUGUUGCGUUUGCACACAAAUUUCCCAUUGAAGGUAUUUUUACCCUUUUUCUAGGACGAUAGCAUUAGAAGAAUGAGUGACGCAAUUGUGAGAGGUUACCCACAGCUGAAGGUUUGAAGUUUCUUUUUAAGAAUACUUUACAUUUAAGCAUCUAAGAUGACUUAAUCAUGUAGAUUUCACGUCUUUACCUCAUUGGAGGGAUGAUCCCUUUUUUAUCUUUGGAGGGAAAAAAAAAUGCUUCAGAAUUUCCCAGUAGCUUCUUUGGAUCUCGAAACACUUUAUAAGGAAGGUAAAACAAAAAACCAAACUCACUGCCAUCGAGUCAAUUCCGACUCACAGCGACCCUAUAGGACAGAGUAGAACUGCCCCACAGAGUUUCCAAGGAGCACCUGGUGGAUUCGAACUGUGAACCCUUCGGUUAGCAGCCACAGGACUUAACAACUACGCCACUAGGGUUUCGGUAAGGAAGGUAUAGGAGAGUAAUUUAGCUCAAUUUACCAAUGAGGAAGCUACGAUCUUUAAACUAGAGGGGUUAAAAAACUUAAGUUUCUACAAGAAGUCAGUUGUCCAGCUGAAAUUAGGAUCCAGGAAGCAGUCUCUGGUUACUUUUAUUAAUUUACAAAAGGAAUUUUAAAAGAUUACGUUUUAUAGAGGUAUAACACCAACUUGGAAAAGGUCUAAUAAUAUUUCAAAGAUUUGGAAUGGUUGUGAAAGAUAAAGAAGAUAACGUUCAAACUUCCCUUCGUCUUUGAAGCAGGGAUAUGACAUUAACCAUUCAAGGAGAAGAGGACUAUGUGAUGGUUAAGGUUAUAUGUCAUCUUGGCUAGGCCGCGAUUCUCAGUGGUUCAGCAGGUAUCGUGGGAUCAUCCUCCAUUUUGUGAUCUGAUGUGAGCAGCUAAUCAGGUGAAGGGGGAGUUUCCUUGGGGAUGUAGCCUGCAUCCAAUAUAUCUGGAUACUCUGGCAAAGCUUGUCCUCUCUUGGUCCUGCAUCUAACUCAUCAUCCUCUGACUUCUGGUUCUUGGGAUGUAGGCAGCAGCCUGCCAUCUGACCUGUAGAUUUUGGCAUUUAUCAACUCCUGCAGCCCCAUGAGCCAGCAGCAUGCUGUCUGACCUGUUGAUUAUGGGUUUGUCAGUCCCCGCAAACACACGUGAGUCAGGAGAUGCCUCCAGCCUGAAGCCUGACCCACGGACUUGGGACUUUCCAGCCUCCACAACUGCCUGAGCCCUUUCCUUGAGAUCUCUCUCUCUCUCUCUAAAGGCAGUCCCCGUGUUACAAACGUGCAACUUAAGGACAACUUGUGCUUGCCCUUUAAUGCUAUAUAAAUUUGCCCUCUCUUUGAAACGAAUGAACCAAUUCCUACUUGCAACAAAUUCUUCAUCACAAUCACCUUCACUUGCUGGUUGUACGACUUUUAAAUCACUGAAAAGGCUUUGGGCCUUUUCUUGCACUAAAUUAAGGCUAAAUAAGAAUCGUACCUACAAAUUCGACUUAAAGGCACAGUUAGGAACAGUCUCGUGCGUAACCCAGGGACUGCCUGUAUAUGCUUCACUGGUUUUGCUCCUGUAGAGAACCUAGCCUAAGACAGACUACAAUGACUUCUCUUUGUUUCAGGGCUCUUGCCUUGAGUUGGUGGGAACUAAAUGAACUAAUUCCCUGGGGGGAUGGGUCCUUUUAGGAAUAACAUAAAUAUUUUUCAUCAUAAUUAAUGAUAAUUCUUCUAGCAACAUUUUUCUCAUUCCAUUUUUUUGUCAUUGUUUUCAAGAGAACUUGCAAGAGUGUUGAUUCAGAUUUAUUCUAAUUAUCUUCCUUCCUUUUCACUGGCAUCUUCUGUGAGAGAGCCAAGAGGAUGUGAGCUAUUCAUUAAGCUGUUUACCUGAGUUCUGAGAGUUGCCAUUGAGUUGGCUCUGAGUCAUGAUGAUCUCAUGUACAACAGAAUGAAACGUAGCCCAGUCCUGCACCAUCUUCACGCUUGUUGGUUGACAUAAGGGGAUGUUUACAUUCUCCUAAUUACACAAUCAACAGCCAUGGAAGCAGCAGUCAAGAAAUGAAAAGACCCAUUGCAUUGGGUAAAUCUGCUGCAAAGGACCUCUUCAAAGUGUUGAAGAGCAAAGAUGUCACCUUGAAGACUAAGGUGCGCCUGACCCAAGCCACUGUAUUUUCAAUCGCAUCAUAUGCAUGUGAAAGCUGGACAAUGAAUAAGGAAGACCGAAGAAUUGAUGCCUUUGAAUUGUGGUGUUGGCGAAGAAUAUUGAAUAUCCCAUGGACUGCCGAAAGAAUGAACAAAUCUGUCUUAGAAGAAGUACAACCAGGAUGCUCCUUAGAAACAAGGAUGGCAAGACUGUGCCAUGCAUACUUUGGACAUGUUGUCAGGACGGAUCAGUCCCUGGAGAAGGACAUCAUGCUUGGCAGAGUACGGGGUCAGCGGAAAAGAGGAAGACCCUCGAUGAGGCAGACUGACACAGUGACUGCAACAAUGAGCUCAAGCAUAACGACUAUUGUAAGGAUGGCUCAGGACCGUUCAUCUGGACUCUGUAUGUACUUGCUGCCUUGAGUAGAACAUUUUCCAGGACUGUAAGAAAGCAGAGUGAAAGCUCACGCAAGAGAGCCGAAGCAGAGUUUGCAGUCAGAGCUCAGGGGAAGGUGAUAUCUGCCAUUCCACCAUUACUGUUCCAGAGAAGGAGAGGGGAAUUGCUACCUUGGGAAGAGGAAGAUGGAUGCGGGGGAAGUCGAAGGAAAGCUAAGUAAACACAAAGCCAGGCAAGGGCUGAGGAACUGAAUGGGCAGACAUGCAUGUCAGGGUUUAUCCCUCUGAGGCAAAGCCUAGAAGGUGGGAAGUCGUGAUAAAAAGCAGAGGACUUGUGGGUCUCACUCGGGGAAAACGUUAAUAGGUGGGGGUGGGAAGCAAGGGGCACUUAAGCAACUAAACCACAUUGCUGCGAAGUCCCCCUUACCCACCUUCAAGUGGGUGGACUCAAGCCCAUGAAUGGGAUCAGGCUGCACAGGCUCCCCAAGAUCACAUGGGGCCCAUCUUGUGCUAAGAAAUGGGUGUUGCGCAGGCCCCCAGGCUCACGUGGGGCGCCUCGAGAGCCAGGGUAGCUGGCGCAGGGGAACCUGGGAGCCGCGGGGUCAGCUGGGAACUCGCUCUGUCAGCAGGACAUCCCGGAAGUCGCCUACUGCACGGUGGGACGCUGUUGAAGUCUGAAAGCCCCGUGAGUCCAGCGCGCCCCUGGUGGGUUCCUGAGGAGAAGCUAGAGGUGCUGAGGCACUGCCCGAGGCCCGAGAGUGGUGCCCUGCAGCGGUCACGACAGUUGCCAUCUUGGAGAGCAGGCGGGGAGAGAGCCUAUUAUCCCAGAGACCACAGCUGACCAGAAGUUACUGGUCUAACCAGGUGUGCGUCGUGGAACCAGAAGAAAAGGAGUAACCUUAGUGGACAGUUACCAUAUUAGAUCAGGUAUAGAAAAUGAAGAAGCCACGUUUUAUGCCACACAACUUGCAUUUAAAAAAUUCAGAAAGAAUGAAGUGGAAAAAAAACAAAAAACACUUAAUCUAUAAAUAAAACCGUCUCUAACUUUUAGUGUAUUUUGUUCUAGAAAGGUGUGCAUCAAAAAAUUGGAGUCAGGCUGUAUGUACAAUUUCCUGUCCAAUUUUUAUAGUUUGUUCUCUAUUUCCCCAAUUCUUGAAAUAGUAGCUAUAACUUGACCGCACUCUUUACCGUCCUCCCUUUUCUUAAAUAUUUCUCGUAGCCCUUCUACAACCGUCUUAUUUAUACCCCUCUUGAGUGCAUCAGGCUUCCUCUUUUUCAGUCAUGCCUAUAUUCGGAGGAAAACCUGGUGGCGUAGUGUUAAGUGUUACUGCUGCUAACCAAAACGUCUGCAGGUCGAAUCCGCCAGGCGCUCCUUAGAAACUCUAUGGGGCAGUUCUACUCUGUCCUAUGGGGUCGCUAUGAGUUGGAAUUGAGCAGUGUGUUUAGUUUUUUGGUUUAUAUUUUGGGAAGCUCUUUUAGUAAUGCAGCCAUCAUUAAGUACUCAGAGGCCUUGCACAUACUCUGCUCUAUGAGCCAGGGGCCUUAUCCAUAAAUUCAAUUUGAAUUAGAAAGCAGUGGACAGGCUGGCCUGUAAUUUCGUAUAUUGAGAAUAUUUUUGAGAACUGACUAAUGUGAGCAGCCUUACCAGAAAAAAUUUCCAGAACCACCACAAAUUGUAUUCUGCAAUCUUCUGGCCAAGUCAUAAAUAAAUGUUCUUAAUAGAAAGGAGAGGAAAGAUGGCUUGGUUGCGAUAAAAACAUCAUGACCAUGGAAAAUGUCCACAGCUGCUGGACCAUGCUCCACUGAGGAUGACUCUUUCCCCACCUAUAUACAGAAGGCAGUUCCUUUUACAAGGGAAAAGUUUAUUAUUACUGUAUUUUUGGAAAAUUUGGGUUUAUUUUCAUUUUCUCUCUUUAACUUAAGGCGUGCAACUUUACUCUCUCUAGCUACGACUGGCACAUAUGUCUGUAAUUGAUAUUUUUUAAUCUUGGGGUGAUUUUUACCCCUGUAGCUUUAUUUUCUACCUUGACCUGAAUCUAGAUGGGAAAAUGGGUGUAGAACAAAUGAAUGCUGGUUUUAGUGAUAAGCAUUUAAGAAGAGCUCCAGUUAGUUGUUUUUAUAUUUUAAAACUUAAAGGAGACAAGGUUUUAGAUUUGAUUUAUUUGAACAACUUUAUAGAAAUUUAAAUAACUUUAUAAGAAGAUUUUGAAAUUCUUAAAGAAUCAGGCAGGCACUGAAACAGGAAUCAUAUCCUUCCCUUUUCCUCUAUUUGAAAGUACACCCUUCCCAUAAUAACCCAGCAGAACCCAUAUUUAUAAAUUUCUUGAAAAUAAAGGGAAGUAAUUUUGAGUUUGAAAUCUUGAACUAUGAUUAUUUUCUGGGACCAUAUGAAGAAGGAAGGAUAAAUUUAAAAUAACCAGAGGAAAAGGUUUGGGUUAGAAAUAUUAUUUUAAACUUAGGCAUAUUAUUAUUGUCUUUUUACUUCUCUGCAGAGGUAGAGAUGCUAUUGUGAAUUCUACUAGGUUCAGUUAUAGUAUGUAAAAUUAUUCUUGGACUGGCCCUUACAUAGCAAAUUACAUUCUGGAGGUCAUUUUUUAGAGCCAUAUUACCAGGCUUAGCUCAGGGGAAGAAUAUUUUACUGCAAUUAGGAGGAAUUCAGUGCCAUGCUACUUGGGCUGAGAGCACUGGAUAAAAAGAACUGGAAGAGAAUUAAUUCAGUUUAGGCUGAGAAGACUCUUAGGAUAAAUGGCCUCUGGCUUGGCUCAAUCUAAGUUUUAUAUAUUAGGGGCAAAGCACAUGUAUUUUACCUGAAUUCAGUACUACACAUGAUUGCUUAAAGAGUAGACAUACUGCCACAUCUGUCAAACAUGGCAUAAAAGUAUGCUUGGUCUAGGAGUGCUCCCUUACAAAAAAAUUACCUUUAUGAUGCUAGCUGGGUUACAACAAGAAAUUGGUGGGGGGGGGGGAAGGAGCCUAUUGUAUAUGUAAAUAACAAUAUUGGUCAUAGGAUCAAAUGGAAAAAAUAGCCCUGCAACAUUUUGUAAAUAGAAAGAAACAUGCACACACACACACAAACACUAUAUGAUAAUAAUGUGAGAAAGGAAGUUAAAGUUAAUAGUAACUUUCACCCUGACUCCA